AAAAAAAGGGGAUUUAUACACGAUUCUUAAGAAAGAUUUAUAGAAAACUAAGGAGAGUACUGAGUAGGAUUGAAACUAUUAAAAGUUAAACAGCCAUCUUAAAACAAUUUAAGGUAUUAUUGUAUUUCUUUAAGUUUAUUUUAAUACUAUAAAUAAAAGAACUCUUAGAAUUAGGAGUUAUUACAAAUAUUUAUAUAUAUAUAUAUAUAAUUCUGUAUUUUUUUCUCUCACACAAAGUUGCACAAGUAUAACAGUUUUAGGGUUUUUAAAUUCAUCUUUUGUUCUUAAAAUUUACUAUUUUUAUUUAGGGCUUCUACAAACCUCAAUUCUCAUACUCGCAUGUUUUUUCCCCAAACCCUAGCUUGAGAAGAGAUGUGAUUUUUGGUGACCGACCGACGAUUUCGAGCAAGAAUAAUACUACUGUUCAAAAUCCCUACUAGGUUUGCCUUUUUGGAAAUCUUGGAUAAAAGCAAGCUAUCCAAAGUUGAGGAUUUUUGGAAGGAAUUCUCUACUAUAGAUUUAACUGCAUAGGUCAUUUUUCUAUAUCCAUCUAUAUGUGUACCUUUUAAUUUUGCAUUGAAUUUGUUAAUGCCGCAGGAAAAAAAAUGAAGUUACUUGUAGGCUUAUUUCCUAUUAUAAUAGCAUAUAUGUGGUUGUCAUUUAUUAUUAUUAUUUUUUUGCAUUAGCAGAUUGAAUAUUUUCUUUCAUCGUUUAACAACUUCAUCUUCAGCCAAUGGAAAAAUAAUAAAAGAUGGAGAAAGAAUGCAUGAGCUCUCUUAAGUAAAAUUGGCAUAUUUGCAGUACGAUUGGCAACAUUCUAUUUGUUGAUGGGCUUCCAAAUGAUUGUACAAGAAGAGAAAUAAGUCGUAUCCUUGCUAUUGUAUUGAUGUUAUUGCUUUUCUUUGUCUCCUUCUAUUAUUUGUCAGGGUUUGUUUAUGUAAACGGUACCUACAUUUAUUCUACAACAUGUUUAGGAAUCACUGUCGGUAUUAUUCUCUGUAUAUAUCCGUGAUGCUGGAUUUGGGGAGUACGACAUUGAUGCUGCUUGGCUAGGCAGAAAAAGGACUGCUUUGACUUCACUUUUUGUGGCAAAUGUAUUUCGAACCAAAGAUCUUCAUAUUGUGAUGAUGUUCUUGAUAUUACUGUCGUUGGUAAUCAUAUUUUGCUCAUGUUUGACGGUGAUGACAAUUUCUGUAGCAAUGGAUGAAUUUACAUUAGGGUGCAAAAUCAAAUAGCAUUUGUAUUCAAUGAUUGUCAUAGAUACAGCUUUACCUUUCAGCAGCAAUAAUCACAGUACAAUUCUAUGGGUCAAAUCAAUUGCCAUGACAUCAUGUUACUCUGUUCCUUAGAAGGUUGUUAUCAGAAAUCUUAUAGUGAGUUGCUGGAACAUGUUGAUGGCAUUGAGGGGAAUGUUCAGUUUCUAAACUUUGCCUAUUCUAUUUCUGCAGUUACUGGGAGCGGCUUGAUCAAGGUUAUGU